GGCCUGAUGGUCUAGGAGUAUGAUUCGUUGUUAGGGUGUUUAACUCAUCGACGAGGUCCCGGGUUCAAUUCCCGGUCAGGCCC
rnacentral:tRNA from 1 species